CUGAGAUUGUUUUUCUUGCCUAGGAGGCUUAAGGAGAGCCAAAUCUCUUGCCUGCUGCCCGAGGCUGCGGGGCAACUGCACCGUGUUCAGACCCCACACACCUGCCAUGCUUUGUGCAUGGGUUUUAACUAGAGAUGGGCUUGAGACAAAAUGCCUGAUCCAAACACCCCAAACUCUGGGAUAGGUCAGACCAAGUGUUGCAGUUAUCCCCGAAGUCAGUGGAUUCUGGCCUCUGUCAUGUGACAAGGAUAUUAACCUUUGUGACUCUGAUCCAGGUCAGGAGGCUGGGGCUGAGAAAUAAAAUUGUGUGUCACCCCUUUAUUAUCUUCAGGCCCCAGCCCCACCCCAAGCUUUAAUACCAGUCAACAUUUUGCUACAUAUACCGAGAUUUCCAUCUGAGGUUCUCAAAACACCUUAUAAGGAUUUUCCAGACAACUGCCACAAUAUUGAGUAUCUGGCAAACAGAAGUUCCAGCAAAGCUUUUGUUCACUGUUCAGGUAUUUUGGUUUGGCACAGAAAGGGGCUCUUUAAUUCGAUUUCUGUACUCCACCUUGGCAAGUGGAGUAGCGCUUCAAUCAAGAUCGCAAUCCCAGGUUAAAGGUAUUGUGGACGCAAUUCAACAUUAUUGGCCUCCAGGAGCUAUCCCAGGAUGCUCCCUUGUGACCGCUCUAGUUAACACUCUCAACUCCAAUGCACUAUCCAGGUGGGCAGGAAAAGCCCCAGGAACUUUUGAAUUUCAUUUCCUGUUUGGUCACCAGCAGCAUAGGUGACCAUCAGCACAGUCCACCAUCAUAGGCGACCAUGCAGAAUCCGUUUUCCCCCCUAGCCAGGAACUAAUCUUAACGCUGGAUCCAAUAGCCUCCCCUCACUCCCAAGGCCGGCUCCUGUUCCAUGACCCUGGCAAAGGUACUUCUGGUGCAAAUGUUUCAAUGCGGCCCCUAUCUAUUCCAUCCCAGAGGCUGGUCCAGA